rnacentral:rRNA from 1 species
CCCGCUGAACUUAAGCAUAUCAAUAAGCGGAGGAAAAGAAACCAACAGGGAUUGCCUCAGUAACGGCGAGUGAAGCGGCAACAGCUCAAAUUUGAAAUCUGGCCUUCGGGUCCGAGUUGUAAUUUGUAGAGGAUGCUUCGGGCGUGGUCUGGUCUAAGUGCCUUGGAAUGGGCCGUCAUAGAGGGUGAGAAUCCCGUAUGCGACCGGGUGCCUAAGCUCAUGUGAAGCUCCUUCGACGAGUCGAGUUGUUUGGGAAUGCAGCUCUAAAUGGGUGGUAAAUUUCAUCUAAAGCUAAAUAUUGGCCAGAGACCGAUAGCGCACAAGUAGAGUGAUCGAAAGAUGAAAAGCACUUUGGAAAGAGAGUUAAAAGUACGUGAAAUUGUUGAAAGGGAAGCACUUGCAAUCAGACUUGCGCGCUGUUGAUCAUCCGGUGUUCUCACCGGUGCACUCAGCAGCGUUCAGGCCAGCAUCAGUUUUGGUGGUUGGAUAAAGGCCAGGGGAAUGUGGCUCCCUUCGGGGAGUGUUAUAGCCCUUGGUGCAAUGCAGCCUACUAGGACUGAGGACCGCGCUUCGGCUAGGAUGUUGGCGUAAUGGUUGUAAGUGACCCGUCUUGAAACACGG